rnacentral:rRNA from 1 species
AGUGAACGCUGGCGGUAGGCCUAACACAUGCAAGUCGAACGGCAGCACAGUAAGAGCUUGCUCUUACGGGUGGCGAGUGGCGUACGGGUGAGGAAUACAUCGGAAUCUACUUUUUCGUGGGGGAUAACGUAGGGAAACUUACGCUAAUACCGCAUACGACCUACGGGUGAAAGCAGGGGAUCUUCGGACCUUGCGCGAUUGAAUGAGCCGAUGUCGGAUUAGAUAGUUGGCGGGGUAAAGGCCCACCAAGGCGACGAUCCGUAGCUGGUCUGAGAGGAUGAUCAGCCACACUGGAACUGAGACACGGUCCAGACUCCUACGGGAGGCAGCAGUGGGGAAUAUUGGACAAUGGGCGCAAGCCUGAUCCAGCCAUACCGCGUGGGUGAAGAAGGCCUUCGGGUUGUAAAGCCCUUUUGUUGGGAAAGAAAAGCAGCAGGUUAAUACCCCGCUGUUCUGACGGUACCCAAAGAAUAAGCACCGGCUAACUUCGUG